rnacentral:rRNA from 2 species
UUCCGGUUGAUCCCGCCGGACCUGACUGCUAUCGGAUUGAUACUAAGCCAUGCGAGUCAUUGUAGCAAUACAAGGCAUACGGCUCAGUAACGCGUAGUCAACCUACCCUAUGGACGGAAAUAACCUCGGGAAACUGAGAAUAAUAUCCGAUAGAACAUUAUGCCUGGAAUGGUUUAUGUUCCAAAUGAUUUAUCGCCGUAGGAUGGGACUGCGGCCUAUCAGUUUGUUGGUGAGGUAAUGGCCCACCAAGACUAUUACAGGUACGGGCUCUGAGAGGAGUAGCCCGGAGAUGGGUACUGAGACACGGACCCAGGCCCUAUGGGGCGCAGCAGGCGAGAAAACUUUGCAAUGUGCGAAAGCACGACAAGGUUAAUCCGAGUGAUUUCUGCUAAAGAAAUCUUUUGUUAGUCCUAGAAACACUAACGAAUAAGGGGUGGGCAAGUUCUGGUGUCAGCCGCCGCGGUAAAACCAGCACCUCAAGUGGUCAGGAUGAUUAUUGGGCCUAAAGCAUCCGUAGCCGGCUCUGUAAGUCCUCGGUUAAAUCUGUACGCUUAACGUACAGGCUGCCGGGAAUACUGCAUAGCUAGGGAGUGGGAGAGGUAGACGGUACUCGGUAGGAAGGGGUAAAAUCCUUUGAUCUAUUGAUGACCACCUGUGGCGAAGGCGGUCUACCAGAACACGUCCGACGGUGAGGGAUGAAAGCUGGGGGAGCAAACCGGAUUAGAUACCCGGGUAGUCCCAGCUGUAAACUAUGCAAACUCAGUGAUGCAUUGGCUUGUGGCCAAUGCAGUGCUGCAGGGAAGCCGUUAAGUUUGCCGCCUGGGAAGUACGUACGCAAGUAUGAAACUUAAAGGAAUUGGCGGGGGAGCMYCACAAGGGGUGAAGCCUGCGGUUCAAUUGGAGUCAACGCCGG